rnacentral:rRNA from 1 species
GAUGAACGCUGGCGGCGUGCCUAAUACAUGCAAGUCGAGCGAACGGACGAGAAGCUCUCUUCUCUGAUGUUAGCGGCGGACGGGUGAGUAACACGUGGAUAACCUACCUAUAAGACUGGGAUAACUACGGGAAACCGGAGCUACUACCGGAUAAUAUUUUGAACCGCAUGGUUCAAAAGUGAAAGACGGUCUUGCUGUCACUAAUAGAUGGAUCCGCGCUGCAUUAGCUAGUUGGUAAGGUAACGGCUUACCAAGGCAACGAUGAAUAGCCGACCUGAGAGGGUGAUCGGCCACACUGGAACUGAGACACGGUCCAGACUCCUACGGGAGGCAGCAGUAGGGAAUCUUCCGCAAUGGGCGAAAGCCUGACGGAGCAACGCCGCGUGAGUGAUGAAGGUCUUCGGAUCGUAAAACUCUGUUAUUAGGGAAGAACAUAAGUGUAAGUAACUGUGCACAUCUUGACGGUACCUAAUCAGAAAGCCACGGCUAACUACGUG